UGAUAUGACGCUUUCGGAGGAGGAAGAACUCCAAGAAGAGUUAAAAACAACAUGACGUAAGGCAGAGCAGCCCAAAAACAGUACCAACCCACCAACUCCUGUAUUGUCUCAGAUCUUCCCCAUAAAUCUCUCUCCACCUCUGCCCACCUCCCCAUCUGAGCUAAUAACUCAUAACAAUUAUUGAUGAAUUUAGCUUGUGAUGGGGUGGAUCAAUAAUGUGGUUUCCUCAUCCAUCCCUAUUACUAUGUCAAAUACAUCUAAUCUGGUCGCGAUUCAAAAUUUAGUUAUUGUGAUUGUACUAUCCACAACGCGAUGGCAAGCGAGCUGCUCCUCCUCGUAGUCUUGUCGGAUACCUAUUUUUGAAAAAAUACUAGAAAUUUUUUCAAGAAUAGUAACUAAAGGCAGCAAAUGUUUAAGAAAGCUUUUCGUGUUUAAUUAAAACAACAAAUUUUUUUCUAGAAAAUGCAUCAGUGUGAAAAUUGUAAUAAACAAUUUACAACGCGCCAAUCGCGUAUGCGUCAUGAGAAAAAUUAUUGUAAAGUAGUGAGACGAGAAGGAGUGAGUCCGGUCGCCAAAAAACAUUAAUGUAUGACUUUUUCUACAAUUUCCAGAAAGUUAAAUAUAGGAAUAAUGUUCAACUUUUAUAUACCGAUACGGAUUCAUUGGUAUUGGAAAUUUUUACGGACAAAGUAUAUGAUGACAUUAAAGAACAUAUUUAUAGGUUUGAUACUUCAAAUUAUGAAGACCAAAAUAUUCAUAAUAUGCAUAAAACCGUCUCUUAUUGGUAAAAUGAAAGAUUAGUAUGCUGAUUUACCAAUUCUACUCUUUUACGGUACCGGUGCCAAAGCAUAUUGUGUGCAAACACAACGAUUUAAUUAAAAAAAGCUAAAGGUGUAAGCAAACAAGUAAUUGAUAAAUCUUUAACAUUUUUUCAAUAUCAAGAAAUUGCAACAGAUCCUUCAUCUUCAUCAGUUUUCUGUAUUAUGAACGUUUUUAAAUCCGAUUUACACAAUCUCCAAACUUAGCUAAUUGGGCUGGGUUCCAGGGCCCUAUUUACUUUAUGCAAAGCUUAUGUUUGAAAACUAAGCUAUUCAAGAGCUAAUUUUAAAUGCUACGGUUGAUAAGUCGAUCCAAAAAUGCAGUUAAAUGUCAUAACGGAAAUAGGUAAUUUAUUACCACAAUUAGAUUUCAAUGGUUGCAUCGCCCAAGACAAUGUUUGUAGCUGAGUGUGUGGUUAGUGUAAAAUAAAAUAAAAUUAAAUAUAGAUCUAGUUUAGAAAUCCCUGUUUCCGAUAUUAGUCAAGUUAAAAACAAAAUUAUAGAAGAGUGUGAUAAUGAAAAAGUAAGUCAUUGUAAUAAAUGUAAAAAGUUAGCUUUUAGAAAACGUAUAGUCGUAGGAAUAACUCAUUUUUUUGUAGACAUUAAAUUUCGAUAGCAAAAUUUUUGAACUAGAUUGUAAGUUGGAAGAAAUUCCAUAUGUAAUAAAAUUAGGCAACAGUAUUACCUAUGCAUUACGUGGCAUAAUCGGCACGUUGGCCCCAAUGUAGGAGUAGGUCAUUUUAGUGCCUACUAUUUGUGACAUAGUAAUAUAUGGGAAACAUACGAUGACCGCUUUAGUAAAACCGAACCCUGUUCUAAAUGCCAAAUAGUAAAUUGUCAACUUUUUUUAUACCCAUUUGACCUGAAAUAAAAUGUUUACGUUAAUUAAAUUUUAUCUGUUUAUUUAAGAUAAAAUAAAUGUCUGUUCGUAAAAAAUGACAACUGAGAUAAAGUUUACUGCGCAAUUUGACCCGAAAUAAUGACAGGAAGAGGAGGUAACGACUUUGCCAGCGCCGUUCACAAAAUUUUGGAAAAGGUUCUAAAUGAUCAUCCUGACAUCUCGGAAAUCACUCUCUGGCUGGAGUGAGAGCUGCAUUCCACAGAACAGGAACAGCUUCAUGACUUUUACCGCAGCACUCGUGGAGGAUUACCUGCGACUACAUUUAAAAACAUUCUAAAUUAAGUUUGCCCCAAAAUAAAAUAAAUGCAAUUCGAAGCAUGUUUCUAUUGAUGCCGAAGUUAGAUCAGGACUACUUGAAAGCGAUUAAACCUAAUGGACCCAUUGCAUCUAAUUUUUUAAGGAUACCGCAUGCGACACCUCCGCCCCAUUUGUAACCGCGAAAAAGAAAUGGCCCAAUCACAAAUGAACAGUGAAACUCAUGUGUAACCUAUGGUGUUUAGGUUGGUUGUCUGAAUGUCCACCGCUAAAUCCACAAACAACACUAUACCAGCUUAUAUUAGCGUACUCACGUGGUUAUAGUGUUUCGUAUUUCGUUUUGUGUAUUUCGUGUGGUUUCCUGCAAGUAUGUAGACCAAAAGCUUGGAAAAGCUGCAGCAAUUUGAGUUUGAUGAACUAAAAACAUUUUUAAAAUCAACGGAAGCAAUCCAAGAAAAGUUUUCGCGAGGUUAUAAAUUCUUCGUUGAGGGCUACCUCCAUGACGUGUGGACGCAUACUCGUAAAAGCGAAAACAAUGUGGUAGUAAAGGCGGCCAAAUGCUACCACAGUCAGAAAAAGACACAAAAACGCAAUAGCACUCAAAUUAGUUUCAAGUUUAAAGUAAAGAGUGGAAAUGUGAGUGUUGAGGAAUAGCCAUUGCUCCUGUGUAAUUGGGUUAUCGGAAUCAUGCCAUCACGUUGUAGCUUUAGGCUACAGUGCAAGACAUGAUCUUUCGUGAGGUGUUAGGAAUUAUGCCAGAGAAACUGAGUGUAACCCAAAAGCCAAUAGCAUGGAUCAAGCCACUUGAAAAUAUUAUGAAUGUUUCAUUCGUAAAAUCACAAAAAAUGGACAGCAAGAAGGGGCCAGAGUUCAGUGUAGCAGCAGGGAACCAAAAAUAUGCUGCAAGUGUGAGAGACUCAGCAAAACACAAAAUAUAAAAGAAAUGGCAGGAAAGUUAAAACGUAAACCCGAGUAUCUCCUUUGCCUAUUUGUUUGAUAAAUACAACGAGGGUAGUACAACUUAGGGUAUUGAAGGCAUUGCGACCACAUUUUGAACUGCAGAUCCCGAAAUGACGAUUAAAGCAUUACAAUCAGCAACUGUGGCACCUGAGGGUGUCACUGAUGUGCAGCCCCAAACCAUGCCAGAGACACAGCCACGCUUAAGCGCUUUAUCGGCAAAUAUUUUGUUAAGCCAGCCACCAAUAGUUAUAGAAGAGUGGAAGACAUUUAAUUUUAACCAAGCGCAAACAGUAGAAGGCUCAACGCGCAAGCAAGUACUUUGCAGCAAAUGGUUUCUGCAAAAGCAAAAAAGGUUUACUACUUCUCAUUUUGGCGAGUUGGCCCAACGGAAAAAAGAGGUAGACCUAAAGUUUUUUUUUUUUGAAAUUGUGGCAACAGAAGGAUUUAUCGCGUAUCAGUACAGUACAGCAUGGAAUUCGAGAAGAAGCAAAUGCCAGGGUACUGUACACAACACACACGGGCAACAAGGUGUUUGACUGCGGGCUGGUGAUAUAUGGGUACAAGCCCAGAUGGCAUUAUUCAACAUGGGAAGAGGCGCUCAAAUCCAAAAACUUCUGCAAGCAAAAUGACGUGCAAAGCCAGAUGCUUCUGUGUGGAUUGGAGUGGUGCGACUUUUGCAUAUUUUUUGCAAAAUCGAACGAAUUAGUAGUAGAACGCAUCUAUUUCAAUAAAAGGUUUUGUUGCGAAAUGUACGAGAAACUAUAAAAGCGUUGGUUACAAUUGAAUAAUAGAAAUAAAUAAUAAUGAUAUAAUUGAGUUUAUAUUGGCGUUCAAGAUCUAAGUGGAUAUCUAAAAUUAGAAGCUCAGUUUCUAGUGUGUACAGCAUUUUAAAAAAGUACAAUAAAAACGAACAUUCAUUUAGACCCCCCAAAAAAUAUACCGUUUGAGAUCAUCAGUACUUGAUAACAUCACAGAAGAAGACAAAAAUUCUUUACGAAGACUAGUGCAUUCAUUCUUCUUAAAAAAUGAGCCACCGACAGUACAAAAAAUUUAUGAAGCUCUGCAUGAACGUGAAGAUCUACCACAUUUGAAAAAGACUUCAUAGAAAAUAUUGCUCAAAGAACUAAACUUUCGAUACAAAGGAAGGCCAAGAAAUAGCAUACUAAAAGAACAAAAUUAAAUAAUAGCAUAGAGAAGAAAAUAUUUGCGGGAAAUCAAAAAAUACAAGGAGGCAAAUAGAAAAAUUUAUUACUUAGAUGAAACCUGGAUUAACGCAGGACACACAGUACCCAAAGUGUGGUGUAACACAACAGUAACAAACCCAAGACAAGCCUUUAUUACUGGUUUGUCAACUGGAUUAAGGAAUUCAUCAGGAAAGGGAAGCCGCUUCAUAAUUUUACAUAUGGGUUCAGACGAGGGAUAGGUAGGAAAUGGGCUUCUGAUAUUUGAAUCCAAAAAGAGUGGUGAUUAUCACGAGGAAAUGAAUGCCACGGUUUUUGAACAUUGGUUUCAAAAUAUUUUACCAAGUAUAGAAGAAAACAGUAUCACUGUGUUAGACAAUGCGUCAUACCAUAGUCGCAAAGUGGAAAAAUCUCUAAAUAGUGGGACCAAAAAAAGAGACAUUCAAAACUGGUUAACACAAAAAAAUAUACCAUACGAAAAGAAUAUGGUCAAAGCCGAACUGCUACAAUUAGUAAAGGCGAAUAAACAUCUAUCUAACAACAUCGCUUUUGUUGAUCAAUUGGCCAGAAAUUCAAAUAGAAUUGUUCUGAGAAUGCCACCUUACCAUUCUGAACUAAACCCAAUUGAAUUGGUUUGGAGUCAGGUCAAAGGUGAGGUGGCAAGGAAAAAUACAACUUUUAAGUUGAACCAUGUCAAAGAGUUGUUCAUGGAAGCACUAAACAACGUGACGGCUGUAUUCGUCAUGUGGAUGGUGUAGAGAAGAAGAUUCGAUCUUAUCAUGGAAACCCAGGUUGAACGAUUAAUAAUAAAUUUGGGAAAUGAGUCAGAAUCAACUACAGAUUCUGACUCAGAUCAGUCUGAAUAAUAAAAAUGUAUAUUUUAUAAAAUUUUCUUUAUUAUUUCA